UCUCUUGAAUGGCUGCGGUGUCAAUAUUCCCAGUCAGCUAUGUCUUCUGUGCUGUGCAUGUUUGAUUUAAAUUUUACUUAUAUUGUUAUCGCUUUUAGUUUCUUCAUUGCACUUUCAUCUUUGUUGGCCAAUUCUUUCUUUUGAGUAUCUAUUUUCAUGAAAUGUGACAUCGGUUUAUUUCCAGCCGACCAGGAGGCAACACAACUACACACUGUGUGAACUGAACCUCAGAUACCACUGGCCUGUCACCAACAGAUUUUGAAGCAAAUGAUGUGAUUGUUCACCGAUUAUCAGUGCAUCUGUUAUUUACAUAGUGAUUUGUGAACUGACAAGUUAGCAGCAGUUUCUGCUUUAUGCAAUUGUUCUGUUAAUAGACUGUGAUUGUGAAUAUUUGUCACACAGAUAUUUAAAUGGAAUCAGGGCUGUAUAUAACCAUGACAUAAUACUUUGUCAAAAAGUGAAAAGUUAAUCUGGUUGGUCAUCAGUUUCAGAAGGGAGGAUUUUAAAUGGCUUAAAAAUAAUGUAGUCACAUGACUUAAAUUCAAAAGAAGGUAUUUUUACCUGGCAUAUGGAGAAGAUGAUGACAAUAAUGUGGAACUUGAUUAGACAUCAACAGAGACUCAAUGCCUCCUGGAAAACACCUGAGAAAUGAUUGAAGCUCGCUCUGGUCUUGCCUGGAAUCAUGCAUAACAUUUGUUGCUGCCUGCAUGUGGAUUCAUUUUAGCAGUUUAUCAAUUUGGACAGGGAAUUUUGAAUAAAAAAUUUUGGCAGUCAUUAUAGUGACUCUUCUGAGACUGAAAAUUCAGGUAACAAGGAAAAUCAGUGACUCUUUCUCUCUGCUUUCUUCAAAACACAAAUAAUCCAAUGAUGUAUAGGCUGCAUUGCCCUUUGAUUUGUUACCUUAGAGAUCAUUACAUGUUAGUACAUAAAGAAACUUCCCAAUCUUCUUUUAUAGCAUCCAGGUACUCCAAUGUGUA
rnacentral:lncRNA from 1 species